CCUACGGGAGGCUGCAGUGGGGAAUAUUGGACAAUGGGGGCAACCCUGAUCCAGCCAUGCCGCGUGUGUGAAGAAGGCCCUCGGGUUGUAAAGCACUUUCAGUGAGGAAGAACGCCUGGUGGUUAAUACCCAUCAGGAAAGACAUCACUCACAGAAGAAGCACCGGCUAACUCCGUGCCAGCAGCCGCGGUAAUACGGAGGGUGCGAGCGUUAAUCGGAAUUACUGGGCGUAAAGCGCGCGUAGGUGGCUUGAUAAGCCGGUUGUGAAAGCCCCGGGCUCAACCUGGGAACGGCAUCCGGAACUGUCAAGCUAGAGUGCAGGAGAGGAAGGUAGAAUUCCCGGUGUAGCGGUGAAAUGCGUAGAGAUCGGGAGGAAUACCAGUGGCGAAUGCGGCCUUCUGGACUGACACUGACACUGAGGUGCGAAAGCGUGGGUAGCAAACAGGAUUAGAUACCCCUGUAGUC
rnacentral:rRNA from 1 species